rnacentral:lncRNA from 1 species
CUUGGCAUAAUGUCACCAAGGAGUGUGUAAAUGGCAUUUGGAAGAAGAUAUUCAAGAGGUUUGUUCAUGACUUCAAAGUAUUUUGCAAAGGAUGAGGAGGGUGCAAAAAUCAAUAAGGCUGUGUGGUUGAGAUGGCAAACAAUUUUAUUAAGCUAGCUGUAAAUGAGGAUGAAAUUGAGGAGCUCACAAAUAAAGGUGGUUCCUGAUGAAUUGACUAAUGAGGAGUUGUUGGAACUGGAACAGGAAUACACAGCUGAAAAGAGAGGCCAAAGAGAAGAAAAGCACAUGAGAAGAUAAAGAAGAACCUCAUGAAAAUUCACAAUGACGAAUUUAGCAGAAGCUUUUGCAGACCUCAACAAAUUCCUUGAAAGUUUGAAAACAUGGAUCCCAACAUCAAAAUGUUUUCAUUAAUAGAGAACAUUCAUGGUGCAUUAUCUGCUUACAGGCGAAUGUAUGACAGAAAAAAAGAGAAGCCAAUCAAACAAACCACCAUGGACAUAUUUCCGGAAAGAGUGACUGUUCACAAAAAGAGCUUCAGGCGGGUCUCUUAGGAGAUCUUCCAGAAGAAGAAAGCACUGUUAUAACAGAUGGCAGCUCCACGCUGUGUGUUUGUGUCUUAAUUUUUAACAAAAUGUUUAAAAAAUAAAAUAUUUUAAAAAUGGCAAAAAGCUUAUGGAAUGACAAUAUAAAGAAAA